rnacentral:rRNA from 1 species
UACGUAGGCAGCGAGCGUUGUUCGGAAUUACUGGGCGUAAAGAGUGUGUAGGCGGUGCUCCCAGUCUGUUGUGAAAUCUCCCGGCUUAACUGGGAGGGUGCAGCGGAAACUAGAGUGCUAGAGGGUGGGAGAGGUAAGCGGAAUUCCUGGUGUAGCGGUGAAAUGCGUAGAUAUCAGGAGGAACACCUGUGGUGUAGACAGCUUACUGGACCGACACUGACGCUGAUGCGCGAAAGCCAGGGGAGCGAACGGG